rnacentral:rRNA from 1 species
GAUGAACGCUGGCGGCGUGCUUAACACAUGCAAGUCGAACGGUGAACGAGGGAGCUUGCUCCCUCCGGAUCAGUGGCGAACGGGUGAGUAACACGUGAGCAAUCUGCCCUGGACUCUGGGAUAAGCGUUGGAAACGACGUCUAAUACCGGAUACGCGGCGUGGGGGCAUCCCCAACGCCUGGCAAGAAUUUCGGUCUGGGAUGGACUCGCGGCCUAUCAGCUAGUUGGUGAGGUAAUGGCUCACCAAGGCGACGACGGGUAGCCGGCCUGAGAGGGUGACCGGCCACACUGGGACUGAGACACGGCCCAGACUCCUACGGGAGGCAGCAGUGGGGAAUAUUGCACAAUGGGCGAAAGCCUGAUGCAGCAACGCCGCGUGAGGGACGACGGCCUUCGGGUUGUAAACCUCUUUUAGCAGGGAAGAAGCGAAAGUGACGGUACCUGCAGAAAAAGCACCGGCUAACUACGUGCCAGCCGCCGCCGUAACAC